CCUACGGGUGGCAGCAGUGAGGAAUAUUGGUCAAUGGGCGCUAGCCUGAACCAGCCAAGUAGCGUGAAGGAUGACUGCCCUACGGGUUGUAAACUUCUUUUAUAAAGGAAUAAAGUGAGGCACGUGUCCCUUUUUGUAUGUACUUUAUGAAUAAGGAUCGGCUAACUCCGUGCCAGCAGCCGCGGUAAUACGGAGGGUCCGAGCGUUAUCCGGAUUUAUUGGGUUUAAAGGGAGCGUAGACGGGUUGUUAAGUCAGUUGUGAAAGUUUGCGGUUCAACCGUAAAAUUGCAGUUGAUACUGGCAGCCUUGAGUACAGGUGAGGUAGGCGGAAUUCGUGGUGUAGCGGUGAAAUGCUUAGAUAUCACGAAGAACUCCGAUUGCGAAGGCAGCUUACUAGACUGCAACUGACGUUGAUGCUCGAAAGUGUGGGUAUCAAACAGGAUUAGAUACCCGAGUAGUC
rnacentral:rRNA from 1 species